CCGUGCUAUGCGGGGAGUUAGCGAUGCCCUGUCGUCCGCAAUUCGCUUAGCGGAGCAGAAUGCUUUUUUGAGGCGUAUUCGGUGGAAGGUCAGAUCGUUACAAGGGGCGUUGAUGUUAAGGUCUUGUGCAACCCGAUCCCGCGAACCGUGUCAGAGUAGGAAUACAGCAGCACUAAACGGAUAAUCAGGUGUGCCAUAAGGUUGCUUUAACGGAGUUACCUGUAGCGCCACCGC
rnacentral:SRP_RNA from 1 species